GGGGAAUAUUGGACAAUGGGCGAAAGCCUGAUCCAGCCAUGCCGCGUGUGUGAAGAAGGUCUCCGGAUUGUAAAGCACUUUAAGAGGGGAGGAAGGGAUGCAAGCUAAUACCGUGUAGUUUUGACGUUACAAACAGAAUAAGCACCGGCUAACUUCGUGCCAGCAGCCGCGGUAAUACGAAGGGUGCAAGCGUUAAUCGGAAUUACUGGGCGUAAAGCGCGAGUAGGUGGUUUGGUAAGAUGGAUGUGAAAUCCCCGGGCUCAACCUGGGAACUGCAUCCAUAACUGCCUGACUAGAGGACGGUAGAGGGUGGUGGAAUUUCCUGUGUAGCGGUGAAAUGCGUAGAUAUAGGAAGGAACACCAGUGGCGAAGGCGACCACCUGGACUGAUACUGACACUGAGGUGCGAA
rnacentral:rRNA from 1 species